rnacentral:misc_RNA from 1 species
AAGUCGUAACAAGGUUUCCGUAGGUGAACCUGCGGAAGGAUCAUUACAGGAGAGAGAGGGGAGGGCUUGGUGUGUGGGGUGGGGGGUUAUAAGGGCUUUGCUCAGAAGAGCACUGCUCUAUACUAUACCCUCCUACUCACCCUGCCCGCCCAUAUCAGCACGGAGGCAGCUUGUCUAUACAGACAGGCAGCCCCAUGUCUACGCUUGCUUGUUUGACAAAGUUAUACCCAUCCAAUCAACUUUUACAACUUUUAACAAUGGAUCUCUUGGCUCUU